rnacentral:rRNA from 1 species
UACGUAGGGGGCUAGCGUUGUCCGGAAUCAUUGGGCGUAAAGAGCGUGUAGGCGGCCCGGUAAGUCCGCUGUAAAAGUCAAAGGCUCAACCUUUGAAUGUCAGUGGAUACUGCCGGGCUAGAGUCCGGAAGAGGCGAGUGGAACUCCUGGUGUAGCGGUGGAAUGCGCAGAUAUCAGGAGGAACACCAAUAGCGAAGGCAGCUCGCUGGGACGGUACUGACGCUGAGGCGCGAAAGCGUGGGGAGCGAACAGG